CGCAGUAGGAUAGGCGAAGCGUGCGAUUGGAUUGCACGUCUAAGCAGUAAGGCUGAGUAUUAGGCAAAUCCGGUACUCGUUAAGGCUGAGCUGUGAUGGGGAGAAGACAUUGUGUCUUCGAGUCGUUGAUUUCACACUGCCGAGAAAAGCCUCUAGAUAGAAAAUAGGUGCCCGUACCGCAAACCGACACAGGUAGUCAAGAUGAGAAUUCUAAGGUGAGCGAGCGAACUCUCGUUAAGGAACUCGGCAAAAUGACCCCGUAACUUCGGGAGAAGGGGUGCUCUUUAGGGUUAACGCCCAGAAGAGCCGCAGUGAAUAGGCCCAAGCGACUGUUUAUCAAAAACACAGGUCUCUGCUAAACCGUAAGGUGAUGUAUAGGGGCUGACGCCUGCCCGGUGCUGGAAGGUUAAGAGGAGUGGUUAGCUUCUGCGAAGCUACGAAUCGAAGCCCCAGUAAACGGCGGCCGUAACUAUAACGGUCCUAAGGUAGCGAAAUUCCUUGUCGGGUAAGUUCCGACCCGCACGAAAGGCGUAACGAUUUGGGCACUGUCUCAACGAGAGACUCGGUGAAAUCAUAGUACCUGUGAAGAUGCAGGUUACCCGCGACAGGACGGAAAGACCCCGUGGAGCUUUACUGUAGCCUGAUAUUGAAAUUCGGCACAGCUUGUACAGGAUAGGUAGGAGCCUUUGAAACGUGAGCGCUAGCUUACGUGGAGGCGCUGGUGGGAUACUACCCUAGCUGUGUUGGCUUUCUAACCCGCACCACUUAUCGUGGUGGGAGACAGUGUCAGGCGGGCAGUUUGACUGGGGCGGUCGCCUCCUAAAAGGUAACGGAGGCGCUCAAAGGUUCCCUCAGAAUGGUUGGAAAUCAUUCAUAGAGUGUAAAGGCAUAAGGGAGCUUGACUGCGAGACCUACAAGUCGAGCAGGGUCGAAAGACGGACUUAGUGAUCCGGUGGUUCCGCAUGGAAGGGCCAUCGCUCAACGGAUAAAAGCUACCCCGGGGAUAACAGGCUUAUCUCCCCCAAGAGUUCACAUCGACGGGGAGGUUUGGCACCUCGAUGUCGGCUCAUCGCAUCCUGGGGCUGUAGUCGGUCCCAAGGGUUGGGCUGUUCGCCCAUUAAAGCGGUACGCGAGCUGGGUUCAGAACGUCGUGAGACAGUUCGGUCCCUAUCCGUCGUGGGCGUAGGAAAUUUGAGAGGAGCUGUCCUUAGUACGAGAGGACCGGGAUGGACAUACCUCUGGUGUACCAGUUGUCGUGCCAACGGCAUAGCUGGGUAGCUAUGUGUGGACGGGAUAAGUGCUGAAAGCAUCUAAGCAUGAAGCCCCCCUCAAGAUGAGAUUUCCCAACUUCGGUUAUAAGAUCCCUCAAAGAUGAUGAGGUUAAUAGGUUCGAGGUGGAAGCAUGGUGACAUGUGGAGCU
rnacentral:rRNA from 1 species